rnacentral:rRNA from 1 species
UACGUAGGCAGCGAGCGUUGUUCGGAAUUACUGGGCGUAAAGAGUGUGUAGGCGGUGCUCUAAGUUCGGUGUGAAAUCUCCUGGCUCAACUGGGAGGGUGCGCCGGAAACUGGAGUGCUUGAGCGUGGGAGAGGAAAGCGGAAUACCUGGUGUAGAGGUGAAAUUCGUAGAUAUCAGGUGGAACACUAGUGGCGAAGGCGGCUUUCUGGACGGUAACUGACGCUGAGACGCGAAAGCGUGGGGAGCAAACAGG